rnacentral:rRNA from 1 species
AUUGAACGCUGGCGGCAGGCUUAACACAUGCAAGUCGAGCGGGGUGAUGGUGCUUGCACUAUCACUUAGCGGCGGACGGGUGAGUAAUGCUUAGGAAUCUGCCUAUUAGUGGGGGACAACAUCUCGAAAGUGAUGCUAAUACCGCAUACGUCCUACGGGAGAAAGCAGGGGAUCACUUGUGACCUUGCGCUAAUAGAUGAGCCUAAGUCGGAUUAGCUAGUUGGUGGGGUAAAGGCCUACCAAGGCGACGAUCUGUAGCGGGUCUGAGAGGAUGAUCCGGCACACUGGGAGUGAGACACGGCGCAGACUCCUACGGGAGGCAGCAGUGGGGAAUAUUGGACGAUGGGGGGAACCCUGAUCCAGCCAUGCCGCGUGUGUGAAGAAGGCCUUAUGGUUGUAAAGCACUUUAAGCGAGGAGGAGGCUCUUUUGGUUAAUACCCAAGAUGAGUGGACGUUACUCGCAGAAUAAGCACCGGCUAACUCUGUGCCAGCAGCCGCUGUAA